GUCUGCGGCCACGCCACAAGCCCGAUGUCUGAUCUUGGAGGCUAAGCAGGGUCGGGCCUGGUUAGUACUCGGAUGGGAGACCACCAAAGAAGACCAGGUGCUGUAGGCA
rnacentral:rRNA from 1 species